rnacentral:misc_RNA from 1 species
UACGGAGGGUGCAAGCGUUAUCCGGAUUUACUGGGUUUAAAGGGUGCGUAGGCGGAUUUGUAAGUCAGUGGUGAAAGCCUGGAGCUCAACUCUGGAAUUGCCAUUGAUACUGCAAACCUUGAGUACAGUUGAGGUGGGCGGAAUACAUCAUGUAGCGGUGAAAUGCUUAGAUAUGAUGUAGAACACCGAUUGCGAAGGCAGCUCGCUAAACUGUAACUGACGCUGAGGCACGAAAGCGUGGGGAGCGAACAGG